rnacentral:rRNA from 1 species
UAGGGAAUCUUCCACAAUGGACGCAAGUCUGAUGGAGCAACGCCGCGUGAGUGAAGAAGGCUUUCGGGUCGUAAAACUCUGUUAUUGAAGAAGAACGUGUGUGACAGUAACUGGUCAUGCAGUGACGGUAUUCAAUCAGAAAGUCACGGCUAACUACGUGCCAGCAGCCGCGGUAAUACGUAGGUGGCAAGCGUUGUCCGGAUUUAUUGGGCGUAAAGCGAGUGCAGGCGGCCUUUUAAGUCUGAUGUGAAAGCCUUCGGCUUAACCGAAGAAGGGCAUCGGAAACUGGGAGACUUGAGUGCAGAAGAGGAGAGUGGAACUCCAUGUGUAGCGGUGAAAUGCGUAGAUAUAUGGAAGAACACCAGUGGCGAAGGCGGCUCUCUGGUCUGUAACUGACGCUGAGGCUCGAAAGCGUGGGUAGCAAACAGGAUUAGAUACCCUG